AAACGGGAUGGAGUAAAAAAGGUUAACUCAUUAGGCUCAUGUUCUAAAGUUAUAGGUUCGAAUCCUAUUCCCGUAUU
rnacentral:tRNA from 1 species